rnacentral:rRNA from 1 species
CCUACGGGAGGCUGCAGUGAGGAAUAUUGGUCAAUGGACGAGAGUCUGAACCAGCCAAGUAGCGUGAGGGAUGACUGCCCUAUGGGUUGUAAACUUCUUUUAUAUGGGAAUAAAAUGGUGCACGAGUGGGCGUUUGUAUGUACCUUAUGAAUAAGGAUCGGCUAACUCCGUGCCAGCAGCCGCGGUAAUACGGAGGAUGCGAGCGUUAUCCGGAUUUAUUGGGUUUAAAGGGAGCGUAGGUGGAUUGUUAAGUCAGUUGUGAAAGUUUGGGGCUCAACCGUAAAAGUGCAGUUGAAACUGGCAGUCUGGAGUACAGUAGAGGUGGGCGGAAUGCGUGGUGUAGCGGUGAAAUGCUUAGAUAUCACGAAGAACUCCGAUUGCGAAGGCAGCUCACUGGACUGACACUGACACUGAGGCUCGAAAGUGUGGGUAUCAAACAGGAUUAGAUACCCUUGUAGUC